GUGCUCACUUGGGUAGCAUGUAUGCUAAAAUUGGAAUGGUGCAGAGCUCAGCACAGCCCCUGCACAAGGAUGACAUGCAGAGAGACGAUCUACUCUCCCUGUCA